UACAGAGGGCUCAAGCGUUGUUCGGAUUCAUUGGGCGUAAAGGGUGCGUAGGUGGCGGGUUAAGUCAGGUGUGAAAUCUCGGGGCUCAACCCCGAAACUGCAUUUGAUACUGCCUUGCUCGAGUACUGGAGAGGAGAGUGGAAUUUACGGUGUAGCAGUGAAAUGCGUAGAUAUCGUAAGGAAGACCAGUGGCGAAGGCGAAUCUCUGGACAGUUACUGACACUGAGGCACGAAGGCCAGGGGAGCAAACGGG
rnacentral:rRNA from 1 species